rnacentral:lncRNA from 1 species
CGCCACAGCCGCCAAAAUAUUCAGUCCGACUCGGACUGAAAACCUCUACCACCUUCGUCGCCGUCGAGGAAGGAGAGCCAAGGAGGAGAGAAAAUGACGAAAACGUCCUCCUCGGCGGUGCGGGAUUUCUCGUGGAAGUACUGGUGGUAGUGGCACAGAACCUGUUCGAUCAAAUGCCUCUGACGGUCGUCGUCGUCGUCUUAGAUGAAGCAGAGCAGAGCAGGAGUUGGUCGAGCAAGGGUUGCUGCCGGAGUAGCCAGCCUUCGAGAAAAACGACGAAGCGCUCUCAGAUUGGGUGAGACAUUUUGGUAAGUCACUGAUGACUUUGAUGUGAGGCUUGGGACAUCGGCCAGUCGGCCAUUAGUGUGAUUGGGACAUCGCGGUGGCGGUGUGGGAGUUGAGGGAGGAGGAGAUUGGAGAAUUGGCUGGGUGUCGAAUGAACGGAGACUGCCUGGUGGGGACGAGAUCGUGCCGGCGCGGCUUGGAUCCGAUCAAUUUGAUCUGGUUUGGACUGGGUCGCAUGAGUCCGAUCUGGGAAAGGGAUGGGAUGGAAACGUUUUCGCUGCUCCAUGGUUAAAUGGUCGACGGCUCGAUGCGAAUGGCGGUGGGAUGAAGGCGGCGGUCCGGCGAACGUGGCUGUGCGGCGCAGCGAGUGGUUCGUCGGAGGUGGUGGGGUUGGGCCAGGUUGAAUGGUUUGUUGAGUAGGUUGAGAUCAGAGGUCGAAACUUGGUGGUAGUUGGGCCUGGGCGUUUGUCAUGGUCUUGGGUAUUUUUUGUAUUUAUUUUUUUUAUAUUGUAUGAAUUGUUUUGUUAUAAUUUAUUUUAAUAAACUACAGUUUAUUAUAUGAAAUUUGUCCGUGACAU